GGACAAUCCGGAAAUUCAAAGGUAUGGCAACGGAGGAACAGUUAACCGAAUAUUGGUCCAGGGAACCAAAGGCCGUGGGUUCGAGUCCCGCAUCGUCCACCA
rnacentral:tRNA from 1 species